AUGUGGGGCCUUCCAAAUGAUCACGCUAGUUUACCUUAUUGUUUGUUACCUGAAUUGAAUCAUGCAGGGUAUCAAUGCAAUAUUGCUAGUGAGAGCGACUCAUCAUCAUUGCUUGAACAUGAAGCAGAGGCUCUGAUGGAGAGUGGUUGGUGGCGCUGGUGGAGUUCCAAUAGAAACAAUACCUCAAGUCAUUGUAAGUGGCCUGGUAUAGCUUGUAACAAAGCUGGAAGUGUGACAGAGAUUAAACCACCUCGUAACUUCAUGGUGGGUGACAAAUUUGUGAAACUCAACUUCUCUUCCUUCCCAAACCUUGUUCGGCUUGAUCUUAGUGGGAACGGACUCCAAGGAAGCAUCACUGCUCAUUUUGGUGUUCUUUCAAAGCUCAUGUACUUCAACCUGUCCUCAAAUAAUAUGACAGGUGAGCUAACUACUUGGCUAGCAAAUCUCACCCAAUUAGUAGAGCUGGAUCUUUCAAAUAACCAUUUUAAGGGUCCCAUCCCCAUGCAACUGGGGAAUCUGAAGAAUCUGGUUACCAUAAACUUAAGUGGUAACGUGCUCAUAGGUCCAAUCUCUUCAUCCCUUGUUCAUUUGACCAACUUGACAUCUCUAUGCCUCAGUUUGAACCAAAUCAACAGUUCCAUCCCUUCAGAUGUAGGAAAUUUGAAAAAGCUAGUUCACCUGGAUCUUAGUUCUAAUUACCUUAAUGGUUCAAUUCCCUCAUCCCUUAAUCAUUUAACCAGAUUGAAUUAUUUGUCCUUUCAUUCAAAUUUCAUAGAAGGUUCAUAGACCAGGAAAUUAGGAAUGUAGAACAUUUGAGUUCGCUGGACUUGUCUAAUAACAAGAUGUCUGGUGUCAUACCAAUUGAACUUACCAAAUUAACCCAAUUGGAGUACUUAAAUCUGUGCUCUAACCCACUUUCUGGCCGCAUACCUCCUAAAAUAGACUUGCUUUCCAAUCUUCUACAUUUAGACCUCUCCCAUAACAAGCUUGUGUCCAUAUCCCAACUUAUAUUGGGAAUUGCAACAAUCUAAAGCAUUUGUCAUUGAACAACAAUAGUCUGAAUGGAAGCAUUCCAGCCCAGGUUGGGAGCCUUUCACUACUUUAUAUUGACAUUAGUCAUAAUGUCAUCAGUGGAAAGAUAGCUCACCAUCUGGGAGAAUUGACAAGCCUGGAAUUCUUGAAUCUCUCCCAUAAUAGUCUCUCUGGUACCAUACCUGAUUUCCUUAACUCCAUGACCCAGAUAUCAUCCAUUGACUUGUCAUAUAAUAAUUUGGAGGGUAAGAUUACGUGCAAGUUUAAAGAUAGAUACCCACCACAAGCAAUCAUUGGCAACAAGGGUUUAUGCAGUGAAUUCAAGGGUAUGCCUUCUUGCUUGACAUCUACAACCACAGAUUCGAAAGAAGAACCAGAGAGGGAUAGGUUUCACUUCUCCACUGUCAUUCUAUAUCUAUUAUUCUACCUUUCUAUUUUUGGAUAUCUAUAUAUAUUUCUAUCUACAAAUAACAAUGUUGAAUCCGAGAGAACUGUAAACAAUAAUGGAGAUUUACUCUCAAUAUGGAAUUAUGAUGGAAGAAUUGCAUAUGAAGAUAUCAUUAAAGCAACCGAGGACAUCAACAUCAAAUAUUGUAUUGGAACUGGAGGUUAUGGCAGUGUUUACAAAGCACAGUUGCCCAGUGGAAAUAUUUUUGCCUUGAAGAAACUUCAUCAACUAGAAGCAAAGGAGGCAGCUCUCAUCAAGAGUUUUGAAACUGAGGUAAAAGUAUUAUCAGAAAUAAGCCAUCGAAACAUUUUGAAGCUUCAUGGAUUUUUUUUACACAAGCAAUGUAUGUAUUUGGUUUAUGAAUACAUGGAAAGGGGAAGCUUAUAUUGUGUCCUAAGCAAUGAUGAUGAAGCUGUUGAGUUGAACUGGACAAAGAGAGUGAACAUUGUUAAGAGUGUGGCACAUUCUUUAUCUUACUUGCAUCACAAUUUCAACCCAACAAUUGUUCACCGGGAUAUAUCAAGCAGCAACAUCCUAUUGAAUUUGGAAUUUGAGGCAUUUGUCUCUGACUUUGGUACAGCAAGACCUCUGAAUCCCAAUUCGUCCCAUGAAACUAUACUUGCAGGCACAUAUGGAUAUGUUGCUCCAGGUGAACACUUCAAGCCUUCUUCUACCUCUUCAUCACUUUAAUAUUUCAUACUUCUUCCUGGCACUUUUAUCGUUUAGACUUGAAUAACAUGCUAAUAAGAAAAUAUAAAACAAAUAUGUACUAAGGGCGUUUUUUUUUUUUUUUUUCCCUUUUUUUUUGCAGAAUUUGCCUAUACUAUGGUCAUGACAGAAAAAAGUAAUGCCUAUCGCUUUGGGGUAGUGGCACUAGAAACAAUAAUAGGAAUGCAUCCAGGAGAGCUCCUCUCGUCAUUAUCACCAUCUUCAUCCAAUCAAGAUGUAAUGCUAAAGGAUGUCUUGGAUCCACGCCUCUCACCUCCAACAGAUAAACGGGAUGUGCAAGAUAUUGCCCUUGUUGCAACAAUAGCAUUUGCAUGCUUACAUUCCAACCCAAAGUCCCGACCAACCAUGGAAAGCGUGUCUCAGGAAUUUCUUUCUCACAAAGCAACAUUGGUGAAACCUUUCCGUGAAAUUUCAAUAUCACAACUUUGGCAGAAAGAAUAUAUUUGAAUUUAGAAAGACCUAAUGGAUGAUGGAUAUAGUGUCUAGAUCGAUGUAAAAUCACUCCUUUCCCAAGUUUUGCAAAUUGAACGCAUCCCACUUAGCCCAUAGGAUGAAGUUCAUAAGUUGGUAGUUUUUGUAGUCACUAAAAAUUAUAUGAGCAAAUAAUUAAAUAUAAAGGGAUUCAGUGUAGCUUGAUCUUCCACUUAGAAUUAAUUUGUAUGUAGCUUAUAACUUUCAUCUAAAACUACAACUUGGAAGGUUGACAUCCCACUAAUUUUCAAGGAAUAUUAUACAUUUAUACCCAUCAUAUGCACUGAUUGCAACGAAGGGUUGAACUUGGUUUAUCUCCUUACUUUCCACCAACCACAACCACACUCCUCCAAUAACUAAUUU